rnacentral:rRNA from 1 species
CCCUUAGAUGUCCGGGGCCGCACGCGCGCUACACUGAAGGAAUCAGCGUGGCUUUCUCCCUGACCCGAAAGGGUUGGGAAACCCGUUGAAUCUCCUUCGUGAUAGGGAUUGGGGCUUGAAAUUGUUCCCCAUGAACGAGGAAUUCCCAGUAAGCGCGAGUCAUAAGCUCGCGUUGAUUACGUCCCUGCCCUUUGUACACGCCGCCCGUCGCUACUACCGAUUGAACGGUUUAGUGAGGGCCUCGGAUUGGUCUCGGCCCGCUCUUUACCGGGCGGCGCCGUUGGUCGAGAAGACGCUCGAACUUGAUCGUUUAGAGGAAGUAAAAGUCGUAACA